AGAGUUUGAUCCUGGCUCAGGAUGAACGCUAGCGGCAGGCUUAAUACAUGCAAGUCGUGGGGCAGCGCGGGUAGCAAUACCUGGCGGCGACCGGCAAACGGGUGCGGAACACGUACGCAACCUUCCUUUAAGCGGGGAAUAGACCAGGGAAACUUGGAUUAAUACCCCAUAGUACAAUCGGGUGGCAUCACCUGACUGUU
rnacentral:rRNA from 1 species